rnacentral:rRNA from 1 species
UACGGGGGAGCAAGCGUUGUUCGGAUUACUGGGCGUAAAGGGCGCGUAGGCGGUCGUGACAAGUCACUUGUGAAAUCUCCGGGCUUAACUCGGAACGGUCAAGUGAUACUGUCGGACUAGAGUACAGAAGGGCAACUGGAAUUCUCGGUGUAGCGGUGAAAUGCGUAGAUAUCGAGAGGAACACCUGCGGCGAAGGCAGCCCCCUGGGAUAACACUGACGCUCAUGCACGAAAGCGUGGGGAGCAAACAGG